AACGAACGCUGGCGGCAGGCCUAACACAUGCAAGUCGGACGUGAAGCAGGACUUCGGUUUUGUGGAAAGUGGCGGACGGGUGAGUAACGCGUGGGAAUCUGCCCAGCAGUACGGAAUAACCACGGGAAACUGUGGCUAAUACUGUAUACGCCCUUCGGGGGAAAGAUUUAUCGCUGUUGGAUGAGCCCGCGUCGGAUUAGCUUGUUGGCGGGGUAACGGCCCACCAAGGCUACGAUCCGUAGCUGGUCUGAGAGGAUGAUCAGCCACACUGGGACUGAGACACGGCCCAG
rnacentral:rRNA from 1 species